AUGGCCAGUGCUGCCAAGGAGCACGUAGACAUAUACAAAGCUAAAGCUCAAGAGAAGGUGCUUCCAUCUUGCAUCUUGCAUCUAUUCACUAUUUACAGUAUACAGACUGUUUGGUUUGGAUUGUUGAAAAUACGGAAUGAGCACCGUAAAGUGUUUCUAAGAUAAAAUUAUUUGAGGAUUUCUCAACCGAAGGAGACUUUAUAUAUAUAUAAGCUCCUUAAUUAAUUGGGAUAUUAGAAAGAUUAGAAAUUUGAAAAAAAUUAUAUAUAUAUUGGAAUCGUUGUUUAGUUGUAUAUAUUUAGUAAUUAAUGUUAAUAACGUCGGAUGUCUGUUGGAAUUGUUAUUUUUAUGUUGAAACUGUAAGCAGGUGGUGAAGGCGACAGCAAAAACGGACGAAGAGAGGGAAAUAGCGAGCCAGAUAAGAAGAGCGAAAGAAGCAAAAGCAAAGAUGGAGUUUCAUGAGGCCAAAACCAAGCACUCUGCUGAAAAAUCGACUGCUAGUGCAGAGAAUAAAUCCCAUCUCCUCCAUGGACAGGAUGAUCAGCCUGUGGCUAGGGUUGGUGAUGGCCAUGGUAAUGAUCACCAACCUCACGAUGCGGGUCCUCUGCCUAAAACCACAGUUCCACAGUUCCGGCAUACCCACUUGGAGGUUAUCGCACCCACAAGUUUCCCUUGAAAUAAAUGUACUACUUUCUUUCUGGGGACUGUAAACCCUAGGUUUUGAAUAAUCAUGGAAGUAAAAGUUUACUUAUUUAACCAGGGUUUAAGAUCAAAGUUUAUGUGCAGCUCUGUAAAUUGCUCACUCUUGUAGGGUAUUUGUUACAAAUGGUCUUUUAUGUAUUGUAAAGUAGUCAUUUUGGUCUUUAAUGUUUUAAACUCAUCAGUUUGGUCUUUCAUUUAUUGACCUGCUCAUCAACAUUGUUUCUAACCUUCAAUUCCGUUGAGAAUUAUGUUAGUAUGCUAACGUGUCAUUUAUGUGGGUUCUAUGAUCUUUUCAAUUUAGAGGGGAUUUGAAUGAAUAAGUUUUCUUUAUGAGUAUUUCGUCUUGUACCCUUUAGUUGGUCAUAAUUUUUUUAAUUUCUCCCUUCACAAGCCUUGAAAUUGAGUGAGUAAUCUAUCCUAAUCGAAUUUUACAUAACAAACGAGUAUGCAUGUGGAAUCUACAAGUAAGAUAGUGGCGAUCAUUUGUUCACUAGAGUAUUCUGAAUAUCAGAGAAAUUUCUUAGAUGAGAGCAUGAGAACAAUAGAAUUUCAUUAUAGAGUAAACAAAACAAAAAAAACAAAAAAGCAAUACAAAAUUAGGGGUGGAUACAAAACUAACCGGACUAACCAAAUCGACCGAUCCGAACCAUAUUGGUCCAUUUGGUUUGGUUUAAGAAAAAUGUUAAACAAUUCAAACAUCAGAUUGAAUCGAUUUACUUUUGGUUUGGUUCGGUUUUGAUACUUUUGAAACUAGACUAAAAUAAAUCCGAAUCAAACAGAUUAACAAUGGUUUGGUUUUGUUCGAUUUCAAUGAUAGUAUUAGUCAAAGCCGAAGCAAACCGUUGAAUACUAGUUAAUUCAAUUAUAUUUUUAAAGUCAAACCAAAUUAAAUCGAUCAGUGCCCACCCCAUACAAAACAUGGUGAAACAGAUUUCCACCAACAAAAACAAAAACCAAAUCCCCUCCUACAUUAUUAAAGAACUCUAGAAACUAUCCUACAUCAGCUCCCCAAUCUAAUAAAAUCACAGAAAGUGACAGAUACACUAUGGCUGGAGAAAGAAAGAGAACCCAAAAUGAGGGCAAAAACCUGACAUUUCAGAGUUUUGUUCUAGGAAAAUAAUUUUCACACAACCCUCUUAAUUCCUCGUUUUUUGAAUUGAUUGAGUUAAAAAGAUAAUCAAACUAUAAAAAUAAACAUGAACGUGCAAAAAACAAAGGGUAAUGCCACAAAGAAUGAACCUUACCUUUCU
rnacentral:lncRNA from 1 species